CUCUAGCAUCACCAGUAUUAGAGGCACCGCCUGCCCAGUGACACAUGUUUAACGGCCGCGGUAUCCUGACCGUGCAAAGGUAGCAUAAUCAUUUGUUCCUUAAUUAGGGACUUGUAUGAAUGGCUUAACGAGGGUUUAACUGUCUCUUACUCUAAAUCAGUGAAAUUGACCUUUCCGUGAAGAGGCGGAAAUAUUCAAAUAAGACGAGAAGACCCUAUGGAGCUUCUAAACCUAUCAACCUAAGUAAUUCAACACUAUUUCCUUCGGGGUACAAAUUUCAACUUACAGGUUGUAAGUUUUGGUUGGGGUGACCUCGGAGAACAGAUCAACCUCCGAAUGAUCUUAGUCCAGACAUAACCAGUCUAAACUUCUACUCAUUAAUUGACCCAAUCUAUUGAUCAACGGAAUAAGUUACCCUAGGGAUAACAGCGCAAUCCUACUCAAGAGUCCUUAUCGACAGUAGGGUUUACGACCUCGAUGUUGGAUCAGGACAUCCAAAUGGUGUAACCGCUAUUAAUGGUUCGUUUGUUCAACGAUUAAAGUC
rnacentral:rRNA from 1 species